CCACGGGUGGCAGCAGUGAGGAAUUUUGCGCAAUGGGGGAAACCCUGACGCAGCAACGCCGCGUGAGCGAAGAAGGCCCUCGGGUCGUAAAGCUCUGUCAAGUGGGAAAAAAAUUUUUUGAUCAAUAGUCAAAAGACUUGAUGGUACCACUGGAGGAAGCACCGGCUAACUCCGUGCCAGCAGCCGCGGUAAUACGGAGGGUGCGAGCGUUGUUCGGAUUUAAUGGGCGUAAAGAGCGUGUAGGCGGUUUAGCAAGUCAGAUGUGAAAGCCCUGGGCUCAACCCGGGAAGUGCAUUUGAAACUGCUUCACUAGAGUAUGGGAGAGGAGAUUGGAAUUCCUGGUGUAGAGGUGAAAUUCGUAGAUAUCAGGAGGAACACCCGUGGCGAAGGCGAUUCUCUGGACCAAUACUGACGCUGAGACGCGAAAGCGUGGGGAGCAAACAGGAUUAGAUACCCGAGUAGUC
rnacentral:rRNA from 1 species